UACGUAGGGGGCAAGCGUUGUCCGGAUUUACUGGGCGUAAAGAGCGUGUAGGCGGCCCGGUAAGUCCGCUGUGAAAGUCCAGGGCUCAACCCUGGAAUGCGGGUGGAUACUGCCGGGCUAGAGUCCGGAAGAGGCGAGUGGAAUUCCUGGUGUAGCGGUGGAAUGCGCAGAUAUCAGGAGGAACACCAAUAGCGAAGGCAGCUCGCUGGGACGGUACUGACGCUAAGGCGCGAAAGCGUGGGGAGCAAACAGG
rnacentral:rRNA from 1 species